AUUGAACGCUGGCGGCAUGCCUUACACAUGCAAGUCGAACGGCAGCGCGGGGCAACCUGGCGGCGAGUGGCGAACGGGUGAGUAAUAUAUCGGAACAUACCCUAGAGUGGGGGAUAACGUAGCGAAAGUUACGCUAAUACCGCAUACGCACUAAGGUGGAAAGUGGGGGAUCUUCGGACCUCAUGCUCAUGGAGUGGCCGAUAUCUGAUUAGCUAGUUGGUGAGGUAAAGGCUCACCAAGGCGACGAUCAGUAGCUGGUUUGAGAGAACGACCAGCCACACUGGAACUGAGACACGGUCCAGACUCCUACGGAGGCAGCAGUGGGGAAUUUUGGACAAUGGGGGCAACCCUGAUCCAGCAAUGCCGCGUGAGUGAAGAAGGCCUGGUGU
rnacentral:rRNA from 1 species